rnacentral:misc_RNA from 1 species
GUGAAUCAUCGAAUCUUUGAACGCAAAUUGCACUCUCUGGUAUUCCGGAGAGUAUGUCUGUUUGAGGGUCAGUUUAAAUAAAAUUCUUUGUGGUUGCUGCCUUUCUUGGUGACGCACCGGGUUUGGGUCGUCUUGCCUUCGGUUAAGUGACUUAAAAUUUUGUAUGAUUUUUUCGAACGUAUUUAAAUGAUUUUACGUUCGUUUGCGAUAUUAAAUACU